rnacentral:rRNA from 1 species
UCGAACGUAAGAUGACUGUAGGUGAAAGCUUACAUCUCUUCGGAGCAUUUUACGAGGUGCGUGCAUGGUUGUCGUCAGCUCGUGCCGUGAGGUGUCGGGUUAAGUCCCAUAACGAGCGCAACCCCUACCUUUAGUUGCCAUCAGGUAAUGCUGGGGACUCUAAAGGAACUGCCUACGCAAGUAGUGAGGAAGGCGGGGAUGACGUCAAAUCAGCACGGCCCUUACGUCCAGGGCUACACACGUGCUACAAUGGCCGAUACAGAGGGCAGCUACCUGGUGACAGGAUGCAAAUCUCCAAAGUCGGUCUCAGUUCGGAUCGGAGUCUGCAACUCGACUGCGUGAAGUCGGAAUCGCUAGUAAUCGUGAAUCAGAAUGUCACGGUGAAUACGUUCCCGGGCCUU